rnacentral:lncRNA from 1 species
ACUGACAGUCUCCUCGCUGCUCCCUACAUCUUCCUCUCCGCCGGAGCUGUCCAGAAGGGGGAUUUUGGACCCAAAGGAAUCGGGAUGAAAGGGGAUCAGAGUGAGAGGCGCUGGCAAUGGACUAGGAAGCUCGGCUGCCGCUGCUACUGCUCCCCCCUGGGCUCCGGCGAGAGCCUUUCCCUGUCAAGCAAGAGGGGUGAGGAUCAUAUUUUUAUUUUGGAAACUAAAAAGUGCUCCCAGGGUCGGUGAUUAUUAAGGGGAAAUCCCUGAAUAUACUCUCCAGCCAAGAAGGCAGGGCUGCCGGGGCUGUACAAGAAGAGGCAGCAGCCUCCUACAGCACCACUACAGGCACUGCGAGGACAUAACACCAGAGAGCUGCUCCUCUGCCCUCCGAAACGACAACUUUCCUACCAUCUUGGAGGCAGAGCAAAGGGGGGCCAGGGGGAAAAGUGCACCCGCUCCCGAUAAAGUACAAAUUUUUACUUCUCAUCUCUGGAAAAAAGUCCACACCGGCCGUCUACACCCGCGCCUGGGGGAGAAAGCAGGGAAGAAACGGGGGGUGCAUGAGAAACGUUUUCAUUUGCUCCAGGGGGAAAAAUGUUUCUGCAUCUUCUGAUGGAAAGAAAUCUUUACAAGACACAGGUUUUCCGGUGGUUAUUGUUUUUUAUUUUCUGUUUUUAAUUUUUUUCAUGUUAGUGACAGUGAUAUUUUAAUAUUUUUUUAAGCCAGUAAUAAUUUUUCUCCAUUACAGGGCUAAGUUCUGUGGCUGGUGGUCAGUUUGUAAAUUUAUACUUAAAGAGACUUAAUAGUAACUUCAUUUAUUUGUCUGGUUAUGUUAUUGUAUAUAUAAAUAUUUAUGUUUUCAUAUAUUGCAUAUAAAAAUUUGUGUUACAUGUUACUCUCAGAACAGAUUGCUGUAAGACAAUUGUAAAAAAACAUGUCUUUCGUCUGUUUCUCAAAGCAAUGUAAAUAAAACCUAUGGACUGUCCAGAAAGGCAUGAUACAGUGUGUCAUUUUCCACAGUGCAGAUAAAGGCAGCUAUCACUGGGGAUUUAAAAACGGCCCCUGUUUCUGGAAAUUCUGUUAUGCUGCCCAUACAGAAAGGAUACAGUAAAACUGGAAAGAGAUUUUAAAGACAGCCUUAGAUUUUUCUUGAGGUAAAAUAGCUUAUUAAGAAUUAUAUCCGGGCAUUUAAUUUUUUUAUUUAUUUAGAUUCUUUAAACUCUAGCUAGAUCUUUGGUGCAUUACACAUGUUGCUAUCUGCUUUUUGUGUCACAGAAUUGAGAAAUGUGGCUAUUUUUGUUAGUUAUGUUAGUUCAGAACUUCCAAUGUGCUGCCAGCCUGUAUGAUAGACUUUUUGUAUAUUGCAGUGGAUGUCAUGAAUUUACUUUUUUAAAUGAGCAAAGCUUACUAGAUAAAUGGGAUCAGAGUUAAACAAUGCUGUUAGCACAGAGGUGAGAGGGACAAAGGGUACCCAUUUACAUCGAUUCCAAUAGAACGCUUAUUGGAGGAUAAAUUGCAGAGACAUUUUUCUAUUUUUGUGAAGAAAGAGAAAAAUAAUAGAAAAAGAACCGACUAUCUUUGUAUGUUCUACUGGGGAUGAUGAUUUAAAUCUUGUAUUAAAAGUUAUUUUUCUAACACA